ensembl:snoRNA
GUACAUCUUUUCAUCUAAAAAUCAAAACAUACUGAUGUGAUAAACAAACUUAGAGGUAAAUUAACAGCAUGGUUAUCUUAGCCAUUGCUGUCAGUUACCUUCAGACAAAU